rnacentral:sRNA from 1 species
UCCUCGAUCUGCUGCGGGCAGAUGAAGUGGAUGUGGGUAUCGACCCCGCCGGCCGUGACGAUCAUGCCUUCGCCGGCGAUGAUCUCGGUGGCGCCGCCGAUCGGCAGGUCCACGCCCGGCUGGAUGUCGGGAUUGCCGGCCUUGCCGAUGCCGGCGAUCAGCCCGUCCCGGAUGCCGAUGUCGGCCUUGACGAUGCCCCAGUGGUCGACGAUCACGGCGUUGGUGAUCACGGUGUCCAUGACCUGCUCGCGCGGCAGCUGCGACUGGCCCAUGCCGUCGCGGA